GUUUGGUGUAGCACUUCUGUUCUCCAUGCAAUCCCUAGAAUGGUAUGCCCGAAUCCACUGUCCAGUCCAGAAGAAUACAUUCUGGACAAGAGUGACUCCACAAACUUGGUCCUGUUAUUCCUAGGCCAGAACAACUCCCAGCUGCCCUUUCAAAAAGUUAUUCCUUUCUGCUUCAUUACUGAAAAAGACCUCCAGGCAGAAGUACUUGGCAUUUUUCCUUCUGCUAUUGGGAAAAUAAUUCUGUUCAUACUCGUCAGUAUUUCUUUGAAAGUUUUGCCAUUCUGCUACUGUAUAUUAAGCUGACUAGAAAAUGUGAUUGGGAGGGGAAUAGACUCUACUGCAGGUCAUUGGCUAAAUCUUCUCCUUUUCUCACGCCAUAGUCUCAGUCCAGGAGAGAAGCUU
rnacentral:lncRNA from 11 species